GAUGAACGCUGGCGGCGUGCCUAAUACAUGCAAGUCGAACGAGAUCUUCGGAUCUAGUGGCGAACGGGUGAGUAACACGUUGGUACCUACCCCGAAGUGGGGAAUAACUGCCCGAAAGGGUGGCUAAUACCGCAUAAUACCGCAAGGUUAAAGCAGUAAUGCGCUUCGGGAGGGGCCUGCGUCCAAUUAGCUAGUUGGUAGGGUAAUUGCCUACCAAGGCGACGAUUGGUAGCUGGAUCGAGAGGUUGACCAGCCACACGUGGACUGAGAUACGGCCACGACUCCUACGGGAGGCAGCAGUAAGGAAUCUUCCACAAUGGACGAAAGUCUGAUGGAGCAACGCCGCGUGCAGGAUGACGGUCUUCGGAUUGUAAACUGCUUUUAUAUGGGAAGAUUAUGACGGUACCAUAUGAAUAAGGACCGGCUAACUACGUGCCAGCAGCCGCGGUAAAAC
rnacentral:rRNA from 1 species